rnacentral:rRNA from 1 species
GCGAGCGUUAAUCGGAAUUACUGGGCGUAAAGCGCAUGCAGGCGGCCUGUUAAGUCAGAUGUGAAAGCCCGGGGCUUAACCUCGGAAUUGCAUUUGAAACUGGCAGGCUAGAGUCUUGUAGAGGGGGGUAGGAAUUUCAGGUGUAGCGGUGAAAUGCGUAGAGAUCUGAAGGAAUACCAGUGGCGAAGGCGGCCCCCUGGACAAAGACUGACGCUCAGAUGCGAAAGCGUGGGGAGCAAACAGGAUUAGAUACCCCUGGUAG